ACAAAAGUAAUGUGUAAGAGUUUAAGGUGCACAACUAACCAGCUUUGCACUGAACUUUAGAUCUGCUUUCAGCUGAUCAAUCGUGCAGUCUAUUUUAGUUCCUAAAAAUAGCAACACGCCAACGAUGCGCCUUAACACGCCUCAUUUGAAGACUGGCACACACAUUAGCCCACAACGUAGUGCAAAUGGAUUUGCUAUUUAAACAAUGUGAUGCAAAAUCAGAAAAUUAGGGUCGCGCUGGUCUGUAAUUAGAAACAAAUCGCGGCAAACAUGUCUUGUGUCUUGUUGCGCCGGGUGUACGAUAGGGCCCAUAGACUCGAAUUCUCAUGCAAAACAGAAAUGUACUGGAAAAAGUGCAGAACACAAUGAAAAUGUGUCGGGGGACACCAAAAAGUGACAAACUUUCUGCUUUCUGUUUACUGCACUUUGUGCAGACCACGUUUCUCUAUUUGCAUGUGUUGUGAAACUUUGCUUGUGCGUGAGUUGUCAAAUUGAUGACGUCAAGUUUGCACCAAAGUUUGCUGGGUUCACACCAAAUGUGGAAUUAAGUAUUCAAGUGAGUAAAUUGCUUACAAUUUAUUGCCACAUGGUGCAAAUGACACGGAAUGCUCAAUUGAAACAUCCCAUGAGUAAGCUUGUUAUAAGUAACAUUUAAUUAAUUACUUUUGUUGCGCACUGUAUUGUGUCUUUUCCUUUGUCCUGCCUUCUUCUCCCGUCUUCUUGUUUUUUGUUAUCCCAUAGGCUCUCAUUUUUAUGUGGUCCGGCUCUGAUUGGCUGCUGGUCAUGAAGAGCUAUAAAACAGAACUUCCGACAGAGAUCGAGGAGCUUAGUUUUGGUGCUAUGGUAGCAGACUCACCUGAGAACAGCCCGGGGCGCUGCACACGUACGGCCUUUCCUGCUCCGAGUUCAUCACUGUCACUGGCUCCUCAUACACCUGAACACAAAGCAGAAAUCAGGGGUGCCUCCAGGACUCCAAAAUAUAAAGACCCACGCUCACAUUAUGUCACUAACGCAUUGUGUGCCAGAGAUAGAAAACUCUGCGGUUCGCUCACCAUGAGAACAGGAAUCCCCCGUUCAGUGCCAUGAUGCUGCUAAAUGCCAUGGAUGACAGACUGACAAUGGAAUGGUAUGCCAACCAUUCAGUUUCAUGCAUACGAAGUGUAAUCGGGCCACUUGUCUGACAUUGCAGUUGAUGCCGACAUAGAGCCCACAACUACUGUCACCAUAAGGAGUGUUUUACAGUUCAAUUUAUAUCAGGCAUUAAUUUAGCAGGUGAUGAGGUAUAGUUUUAGGCAUCACACCACUAUAGCAUUGUGAAAACAUUAGUUUUAGCUCAAAUAGAAAAGUGUGGUACCAGUUAUGCCAAAGUUUUGGUUUGAUUUCCAAUUAAAGCAAGAACUUAAUAUGUGUAACUUCGAAGUAAUACAAGUUACCUUUGAUAAAAAUGUGUAAAUGAGGUUGACAAUGAUAGAAUACAGUGUGGCUGUUUAUUUUAAAUGAUUUAGUGGUGCACCUUAAUCCUAAAAAUGAUUUGGUCAUAUAUCAAAAUAAAAUGACUACUUCUGAAUAUGUUUAUUUUUAAGCUAAGCUAAAAAUAAAUAACUUUUUAAUGUUUCACAAUCAAAUAAUGUCUUGAUGGGUAAAAUUAUGGACAGUUUUGCAAAUAACAGGAUUCUCAGAAGUCUUUAAAUUUAUUUCUGUCAUAAACACUCUCGGGAUUUAGCAUGGUAGGGAAUAUGUAUAUGGAUAUGUUGAUGUAUAUAGUCUUGGCGGUAUAGAUCGGCUAUGCUGCUGCUGCGGCUGCUUUGAUUGGCAGAGCUAGUACCAAGACCUGCUGCUGUCAGUAUACACAGACAUGCCAUCUGAGAAUAUAACAAGCAGCUGCUGCAAACAUAAUGUAACCACCCUAGCAGAUCUUACACAGGUGGAUCUGGGGUGGAGGCGGAUCUCCGAAAAUGCGCUGCAGCUAACAGUAAAACAAUGUGGAGCAUUUAAACUGAUGAGGAGCAAGCUCACUGGCUGCCGAGGCAGCAACCAAGCAGAUUAGGUGACCUAUCAGCCUGCACAUGCAGAGUUUCAUGGCAGAGAUUUCACACAGUGGUGAACAGAAACUACAUUUUCACCUCUUAAUUUGCCCUAGUGGCAAAACAAAAUAAAAAAUUAAGCCUAAAAAGCCUAAUCUCUACACUUCAAAAAGAUUCUGCCUUAGAUUUUUUAGUUGAAUCAAAUGAACUUUUCUAGUCAUGUAAAUUUAAAUCAAUAAAACGGACAAAAAAUAUUAUAUACAACAGAGAAAAAAAUUAUUGAGUCAUUACUUGCAUGGUCAUAAGCAAACUUCCUGAUAUUUUUUGUUAUU